rnacentral:lncRNA from 1 species
CUUGCUUCCACUUCACCUUCCCGACCCACAGCUGCCUCUGCCCCUCCAGCCCCUGUGGCCAGGAUGGAGGGAGGGCGGCCUGGGCCUUCUGGGGGACACCCAGGGUCCCUGUGUGCACCUCAUGCCCCACCCCCACCAGGGAAGGUGAGUGUCCCAGAGGAGGAGCUGGACGCCAUGCUGCAAGAGGGCAAGGGCCCCAUCAACUUCACCGUCUUCCUCACGCUCUUUGGGGAGAAGCUCAAUGGGACAGACCCCGAGGAAGCCAUCCUGAGUGCCUUCCGCAUGUUUGACCCCAGCGGCAAAGGGGUGGUGAACAAGGAUGAGUUCAAGCAGCUUCUCCUGACCCAGGCAGACAAGU